rnacentral:lncRNA from 1 species
AAGUGCACAGCUCAGUAGAAUUAAAUACAUUCACACUGCUGCAAAUCACCACUACCAUCUCCAGAACUGAAACUGUGUGUCCAUUAAACAAGAAUUCCUCAACAUGUCUCCACUCAACAGCUGGAAAAGAAACAAAAGAAAAUUUGAAAGGGGUGAUGUUCCAACAUAUCAAGUUCAUGAAGGGACAUAAUUAUGCUGUUAUGUGAAAGAAUCAACUCUGUGUGCUCAGCAGACCAUCCAGACACAUCCUAAGCAUUGUGUCUCCGAAGUAGAUCAGUUUAGCUGUGACAUCCUAUAGCAGUAUCUCUAUUAUGUGUCCUGUUCUAUUCAUCAGCAUCUCAACCGAAAAGAAACUCCUGGAGGACAUGCUCCUUGAAAAUAAGAAAGUAAAUGAAAAAAGAAGAUAUUGGGAGAGCAGAAUCAAGAGCUCCAACAAAAGACCUGCCAAAGAACUUCUGGGUUAUAAUAGCAAGUCUUUCCCAUUAAAGCUACUGGCAGAGAUGCCCAAAAUAUUCCUGAUUGAUUGAAGCCUCAUUUGCUAGUUCCUCACUUUCGGGAACACUAA